rnacentral:rRNA from 1 species
AGAGUUUGAUCCUGGCUCAGAAUCAACGCUGGCGGCGUGCCUAACACAUGCAAGUCGCACGAGAAAGGGUAGCAAUACCUGAGUACAGUGGCGCACGGGUGAGUAACACGUGAAUCAUCUACCUCCGAGUGGGGAAUAACCUAGAGAAAUCUGGGCUAAUACCGCAUAACACUUACGAGUCAAAGCAGCAAUGCGCUUGGAGAGGAGUUCGCGGCCGAUUAGUUAGUUGGCGGGGUAAUGGCCCACCAAGACGAUGAUCGGUAUCCGGCCUGAGAGGGCGCACGGACACACUGGAACUGAAACACGGUCCAGACUCCUACGGGAGGCAGCAGUGGGGAAUUUUGCGCAAUGGGGGAAACCCUGACGCAGCAACGCCGCGUGGAGGAUGAAAUCCCUUGGGAUGUAAACUCCUUUCGAUCGGGACGAUUAUGACGUACCGAAGAAGAGCCCCG